UACGAAGGGUGCAAGCGUUACUCGGAAUUACUGGGCGUAAAGCGUGCGUAGGUGGUGAGUUAAGUCUGAUGUGAAAUCCCCGGGCUCAACCUGGGAAUGGCAUUGGAUACUGGCUCGCUAGAGUGCGGUAGAGGGUGGUGGAAUUCCCGGUGUAGCAGUGAAAUGCGUAGAGAUCGGGAGGAACAUCUGAGGCGACGGCGGCCACCUGGACCAACACUGACACUGAGGCACGAAAGCGUGGGGAGCAAACAGG
rnacentral:rRNA from 1 species